GGGUCAAAAUUGAUCCUCAAAGGGACGAAAGUUACUCCCCCGUCACUAUAAAUAUCAUCCCUUUAAGUGGCAAAAUUAAUCCCCAAAGGGACGAAUUUUAGUCCCCAAUAAAAAAAAAAGUUAGUCCCCCAAUCACCACUGUUGAUCCCCAAAGGGAUCAAAGUUACUCCCCCAAUUAUAAACACGUCGGCGCUCAAGGGACCAUAAUUAAUCCCCUGAAGAGUUAAGCUUAGUCCCUGAUGCCCUGCUGUAGGGAUCAAAAGCACUCCUCUUAACGGUUCAAAACUUUGACCUGAAGGGAUCAAUGGAAAGGGACUAAAAGAAAAGGGAGGGACCAAACCGGGGUUUUGCCGUUUUUGGGGGAUCACUCUCAGUGACAUCGAUUUAGUCCCCAAAAAGGACGAAGUACUACUCCUUUUUUUUUUAAGAGUGUAAGCUGCAGCGAGCAGGAGGGCCGCUGCGGUGAGCGUUGAACGUGUCGGGCAUAAGCCCGCCUGGAGCCGCCGCUAGUGCAGAUCUUGGUGGUAGUAGCCAAUACUCAAGUCAGAAACUUGAGAACUGAAGUGGAGAAGGGUUCCAUGUGAACAGCAGUUGAACAUGAGUCAGUCUGUCCUAAGGAAAGGGAGAAGUUCUUUCCGUAGCGGGAGCACCUUUUUGCAGUGGAGGGAACUCCGCAGUGACUGAAAGCGAAUCUGGUUAAUAAUCCCGGACACGGAGAUUGGUUCUUCGGGGCCCAGUGCGGUAACGCAAACCAGCUUGGAGACGCCGGUGCGAGCCCCGGGAAGAGUUUUCUUUUCUCUGUAAGGAGAUCGAGUCCCUGGAAUGGGUUCGCCCCGAGAUAAGGAUGGCGG
rnacentral:ncRNA from 1 species